rnacentral:misc_RNA from 1 species
GGAAGUAAAAGUUGUAACAAGGUUUCCGUAGGUGAACCUGCGGAAGGAUCAUUAUUGUAUAACCGAGGUGCGAGGGCUGUCGCUGACCCGAAAGGUCGUGCACGCCCGAGUGCCCUCACACACAUCCAUCUCACCCCCAUGUGCACCACCGCGUGGGUCCCCCUUUGGCUUGUUCGGAGGGGGGCUUACGUUUUCACACAAACUUUGUAUGCAGUGUAGAAUGUAUUUUUUGUUUUUGCGAUCACGCAAUCAAUACAACUUUCAACAACGGAUCUCUUGGCUCUC